UUAAGCUAUAUUAAAUUCAAACUUUAAAUUCAAACACCUACAAAAUUGUGAAGAAGUUCCAAUAGAUGGUUAAUAUUUUGUUGAAAAGUUCUUCUAAUCACCAUGCCUAAGCGUAUCACCAAAGUUCCGGAUAGUGAUUCAGAAGAUGAUCAGUUCUUAGAAGAUAUGAUAAUCCAUGUCUUACACAUCGCAAACUCAUCCGAUCGUAGUAUAAGGAAGACAGUUACGUUCAUCUUGGAGCAUCGCGAGUAUUCACUUCUGAUAGCCAGAAGCUGGGCGAAACAAGUUUUAGAAACUAAAAGAAUUGCUCAAAAAAUUGUUCUCUUCCGAAUAUUGGAUGGUGUGUAUCAGAAAUGCGCUGAGGAGCCAAGUACUAGCAUUAUGUGGUCCUUUGACAUAAUUGUAUAUUAUGUUUUGGAUAAGCUAUUAACUGAUUGUAAGAAUGUAACAUUGCUUAAGCACAUUGAAAAUAUGUUAAUUGUAUGGGCGACAAAAAGUAUUUAUAACCCCACAAAACUGGAGAAUUAUAAGAAACGCAUUGGAGAUUUAGUAAAGUCACUAGAAGCAUCACUUUCAGAGGACUGUGAUGUUUAAAGCUCUUUCCUCUUACUUGAAAAAUUAUUACUAUGACAGUCCUGUUCCCAAAAACUGCACAGCUGAAGCAACGUAUUUUCGGAAAAUUAUCAUAAACCAGCACAGAACAGAGAACUACUUUAUACAUGUAAUAUUUGACCGAACGGACUUAGUGGGAUGCUUAUUCAAUUAUCCAGAUGCUUACAGUUCAUUUCUCUGACUUAUAGAACUAUUACUAUAAUGGUUCUAUUACCAAACACUGCAUAGCUGAAGCAACGUACUUUCAGAAAAAUUAUCUUAAACCAGCCCAGAACAGAGAACUACUUUAUACAUGUAACUUUUGACCGAACGGACUUAGUGGGAUACCUAUUCAAUUAACCUGAUGCUUACAGUUCAUUUCUCUGACUUAUAGAACUAUUAAUAUGACGGUUAUAUUACCAAACACUGCACAGCUGAAGCAACGUACUUUCAGAAAAAUUAUCUUAAACCAGCCCAGAACAGAGAACUACUUUAUACAUGUAAUAUUUGACCGAACGGACUUAGUGGGAUGCUUAUUCAAUUAACCAGUUGCUUACAGUUCAUUUCUCUGACUUAUAGAACUAUUAAUAUGACGGUUAUAUUACCAAACACUGCACAGCUGAAGCAACGUACUUCCGGAAAAAUUAUCUUAAACCAGCCCAGAACAGAGAACUACUUUAUACAUGUAAUAUUUGACCGAACGGACUUAGUGGGAUGCUUAUUCAAUUAACCAGUUGCUUACAGUUCAUUUCUCUGACUUAUAGAACUAUUAAUAUGACGGUCCUUUUACCAAACGCUGCACAGCUGAAACAGAGCCCAGGACAGAGAACUGCUUUAUACAUGUAAUAUUUGACCGAACGGACUUUGUGGGAUGCCUAUUCAAUUAACCUGAUGCUUACAGUUCAUUUCUCUGACUUAUAGAACUAUUAUUAUGACGGUUCUAUUCCCAAAACCUGCACAGCUGAAAUGACAUACUUUUGGAAAAUUAUCAUAAACCAGCACAGAACAGAGAACUGCUUUAUAAAUGUAAUAUUUGACCGAACGGACUUAGUGGGAUGCCUAUUCAAUUAACCUGAUGCUUACAGUUCAUUUCUCUGACUUAUAGAACUAUUACUAUAAUGGUCCUGUUCCCAAACACUGCACAGCUGAAGCAACGUACUUUCGGAAAAUUAUCUUAAACCAACACAGAACAGAGAACUGCUUUAUACAUGUAAUAUUUGACCGAACGGACUUAGUGGGAUGCUUAUUCAUUUAACCAGAUGCUUACAGUGCAUUUCUCUGACUUAUAGAACUAUUACUAUAAUGGUUCUAUUCCCAAAACCUGUACAGCUGAAACGACAUACUUUUGGAAAAUUAUCAUAAACCAGCACAGAACAGAGAACUACUUUAUACGUGUAAUAUUUGACCAAUCGGACUUAGUGGGAUGCCUAUUCAAUUAACCUGAUGCUUACAGUUCAUUUCUCUGACUUAUUGAACUAUUAAUAUGACGGUCCUUUUACCAAACGCUGCACAGCUGAAACAGAGCCCAGGACAGAGAACUGCUUUAUACAUGUAAUAUUUGACCGAACGGACUUAGUGGGAUGCCUAUUCAAUUAACCAAAUAUUUCUACAAUUAAGAUUUUAAGGAAACUUUUAUAUUUGUUAUAUAUUAUUCUGAAACUAUUGAUAUCAAUAUUUA